rnacentral:rRNA from 1 species
CCCUUAGAUGUUCUGGGCCGCACGCGUGCUACACUGAUGCAUUCAACGAGUUUUACCUUGGCCGAGAGGCCUGGGCAAUCUUUUAAACCUGCAUCGUGAUAGGGAUAGAUUAUUGCAAUUAUUAAUCUUGAACGAGGAAUUCCUAGUAAACGCAAAUCAUCAAUUUGCAUUGAUUACGUCCCUGCCCUUUGUACACACCGCCCGUCGCACCUACCGAUUGAAUGGUCCGGUGAAGCCUCGGGAUUGUGGCCAGUUCACUUUAUUGGGAGUUGGCUGUGAGAACUUGUCUAAACCUUAUCAUUUAGAGGAAGGUGAAGUCGUAACA